rnacentral:rRNA from 1 species
GAUGAACGCUGGCGGCGUGCCUAAUACAUGCAAGUCGAGCGAACGGACGAGAAGCUUGCUUCUCUGAUGCUAGCGGCUGACGGGUGAGUAACACGUGGAUAACCUACCUAUAAGACUGGGAUAACUUCGUGAAACCGGAUCUAAUACCGGAUGAUAUUUUGAACCGCAUGGUUCAAAAGUGAAAGACGGUCUUGCUGUCACUUAUAGAUGGGUCCGCGCUGCAUUAGCUAGUUGGUAAGGUAACGGCUUACCAAGGCAACGAUGCAUAGCCGACCUGAGAGGGUGAUCGGCCACACUGGAACUGAGACACGGUCCAGACUCCUACGGGAGGCAGCAGUAGGGAAUCUUCCGCAAUGGGCGAAAGCCUGACGGAGCAACGCCGCGUGAGUGAUGAAGGUCUUCGGAUCGUAAAACUCUGUUAUUAGGGAAGAAAAUAUGUGUAAGUAACUGUGCACAUCUUGACGGUACCUAAUCAGAAAGCCACGGCUAACUACGUG